rnacentral:lncRNA from 1 species
CCCUGAUAGGAAGAAGAUUGCUACGACCACAGAGUGCUACACUCUCAGUCUCCCCAGCAAUUUUGCAGGGUGUGGAAGGUGAGUUUCGCCACUUUGCUUUGCACACGGCUCUGCAUUUAGCAUUCUCUGGGGACACCAAGACCUUGUCAGGCAGGAGACAAUCACCUGGGCAACUGAAAGUAAAUGCACAUUUUCCAAGUGUGUCCCACAUGUAAUUAGUCAAAAUUGGUAGAGAAGGGAGUGGGGGCAGGACCGCUGUAGGUCCAGCAAGCACUCCAGGGGGUUCUGAACUACAGCCAGAAUGGGAAGCCAGAUUCCUAGGUUGAAUUCUGGAGGAAAAACAGGAUUUUGUAGGUCAUAAGACAGAAUUUUCCCCCUGAAUAAUAAUUGCUGAGACACUCUAGGAAUGUUUAUAAAACCAUUGUCAUAAUGCCCCAUGUUAUGUCCCAUGUUAUGUAUGUUACUGCCCUCAGUUUGAAUUGUAAUCUUUUUGGAGAAAGUUCUGGAUCCUAAGUCAGGACUUCUUGAACACCUACCAUGUGCCACGCCCUUUGGGCAACACAGUGGGUUAAACAUGUUUUUCCUGUUUACAGGAAGCUACACUGAGUCUAGACUGUGGAAAAUAAGACUCUCAUAUGUGAAUAAUCAGAUGAUAAUCUGGAGACUGAAAGAGCCAGAGGUACUGAAGGGACGAUCCUGGCACAUCUUGGUCCAAGUGCUGCUGGUAACUGUCCUCCUAGGAGGCCAGGGAGGGCCGUUUCCCAGUGUCCUGCAGCUUCUCUUUCUCAUGAUUGAUGAAAUGCCUGAGGGUGCAGUGCAUGUGCCUGGGUCCCGCUGCCCCAAUAGUGUCAGAACUGAAAAGGAUGGAAGCACUUCCCAGUCUCUUUGGGAAGAAGGGCUGGAAUAUCCAAUAAGGCUGCCAACCUGUGGGGUACGUUGGAAACACAGCAUGUGCUAUUUGCCCAGCUGUGCAUUCUGA